rnacentral:rRNA from 1 species
AAUGGCGUAAUGAUGGCCAGGCUGUCUCCACCCGAGACUCAGUGAAAUUGAACUCGCUGUGAAGAUGCAGUGUACCCGCGGCAAGACGGAAAGACCCCGUGAACCUUUACUAUAGCUUGACACUGAACAUUGAGCCUUGAUGUGUAGGAUAGGUGGGAGGCUUUGAAGCGUGGACGCCAGUCUGCGUGGAGCCGACCUUGAAAUACCACCCUUUAAUGUUUGAUGUUCUAACGUGGACCCGUUACCCGGGUUGCGGACAGUGUCUGGUGGGUAGUUUGACUGGGGCGGUCUCCUCCUAAAGAGUAACGGAGGAGCACGAAGGUUGGCUAAUCCUGGUCGGACAUCAGGAGGUUAGUGCAAUGGCAUAAGCCAGCUUGACUGCGAGCGUGACGGCGCGAGCAGGUGCGAAAGCAGGUCAUAGUGAUCCGGUGGUUCUGAAUGGAAGGGCCAUCGCUCAACGGAUAAAAGGUACUCCGGGGAUAACAGGCUGAUACCGCCCAAGAGUUCAUAUCGACGGCGGUGUUUGGCACCUCGAUGUCGGCUCAUCACAUCCUGGGGCUGAAGUAGGUCCCAAGGGUAUGGCUGUUCGCCAUUUAAAGUGGUACGCGAGCUGGGUUUAGAACGUCGUGAGACAGUUCGGUCCCUAUCUGCCGUGGGCGCUGGAGAACUGAGGGGGGCUGCUCCUAGUACGAGAGGACCGGAGUGGACGCAUCACUGGUGUUCGGGUUGUCAUGCCAAUGGCACUGCCCGGUAGCUAAAUGCGGAAGAGAUAAGUGCUGAAAGCAUCUAAGCACGAAACUUGCCCCGAGAUGAGUUCUCCCUGAGACUUAGAGUCUCCUGAAGGAACGUUGAAGACGACGACGUUGAUAGGCCGGGUGUGUAAGCGCAGCGAUGCGUUGAGCUAACCGGUACUAAUGAACCGUGAGGCUUAACCUU